AUGCUGUGAUUUUUUAAAAAGCAGCUUAUACAUAUUCAAAUCACUCACCCAAGUGUGUUAUAAUAUGAUUAGGUGUUCAUGAGGCCAUGGGGACUGAUGAGACAGUGACAUCACCUGACUUCUGGGAAGAAGGACGUCUCCUCCUCUGCUCAUGCCCCCAGAGACCCUGACCGGCAAACGCUCCAGUCCUGCCCGACCCACCAUGGGCUCCAGACUCCCCUGCUGGUUGGCCUUCUGCCUCCUGGGGGCAACGUCUGUCUCUGCAGGUCACACAGGUGCUGGAGUCUCUCAGGUCCCCAGGCACAGGGUCACAAAGAAGGGCCAGGCUGUAGCCCUCAGCUGUGAUCCAAUUUCUGGUCAUGUUGGCCUUUACUGGUACCGACAGAACCUGGGGCAGGGCCUGGAGCUCCUGACCUAUUUCCAGAAUAAGUUUCCUGGAGACACGUCAGGGAUGCCUGAGGCUCGGUUCUCUGCGGAUAGACCUGACGGGUCAUCUUCCACACUGAGGAUCCAGCCCGUGGAGCCAGGGGACUCAGCCGUGUACCUCUGUGCCAGCAGCUUAACCACAGUGUGGCAUUGCCACCUCCUUCCUGUGCACAAACCACGUACUCCUCUUCUCUCCUUGCCGCUCCUAGAAGAUCUGAGCAGAGCCUUUCUCUGUCCUCCACUCCCCAGGAAAGAGGUAGACUAGGACAUCAGCUGACAUUAGGAAGAGGCCAGACCACAGGUGAACUCCUAAAGCACUGUGGCUGUAGAGGUUGGGUGGAUGGAAAUCAUUAGAUGGUAACUAAAAUGUCUGCCCAGUCCUUUGCUGAUCAGUAUUUACUGGGAUUACCUUGAUGGUCUUGUAUGUGGCAGGAUUAGGGCAUUUCAGUAUAUCUUCAGUAAUGGAGACAGCAGGACCUCUUUCCAUUUCAAGUUCUGUGUUUUUCUUCCUAUUCUAGACCAGAUUCUAUUUCCUUCUGUCCCCCAUUCUAUUCCUCUCCCUUUCAGAGCACGGUUUUAAGGGAGAAAAUCCCAAUUAGUUGAUAACUGUCAGAUACACAACAGGAGUUAGGCAGAACGAGGGUGGGACAUUAAACAUGGUAUCUCAAGGAAAUAGAGUUAGGAUGUUUUAGGCUGGGUUCUCUAGAGGAACAAAAUGAGUGAAGUAUAUAUAUAAAGAUAUACAGAAAUAUUUCUUUCAAGGAACUGGCACACAUAAUUUUGGAGC